GAGUUUGAUCGUGGCUCAGAUUGAACGCUGGCGGCAUGCCUUACACAUGCAAGUCGAGCAGCAGCGCGGGGGCAACCCUGGCGGCGAGCGGCGAACGGGUGAGUAAUACAUCGGAACGUGUCCUGUCGUGGGGGAUAACCAGUCGAAAGAUUGGCUAAUACCGCAUGACCUCGUAAGAGAAAAGCGGGGGACCGUAAGGCCUCGCGCGACUGGAGCGGCCGAUGUCGGAUUAGCUAGUUGGCGGGGUAAAAAGCCCACCAAAGGCGACGAUCGGUAGCUGUUCUGAGAGGAAGAUCAGCCACACUGGGACUGAGACACGGCCCAGACUCCUACGGGAGGCAGCAGUUGGGAAUCUUGGACAAUGGGGGAAACCCUGAUCCAGCCAUGCCGCGUGAGUGAUG
rnacentral:rRNA from 1 species